rnacentral:hammerhead_ribozyme from 1 species
ACUGAGCUGACGAGUCCCAAAUAGGACGAAACGCGCGUCCUGGAU